rnacentral:rRNA from 1 species
AACGAACGCUGGCGGCAGGCUUAACACAUGCAAGUCGAGCGCCCCGCAAGGGGAGCGGCAGACGGGUGAGUAACGCGUGGGAAUCUACCCAUCUCUACGGAAUAACGCAUGGAAACGUGUGCUAAUACCGUAUACGUCCUUCGGGAGAAAGAUUUAUCGGAGAUGGAUGAGCCCGCGUUGGAUUAGCUAGUUGGUGGGGUAAAGGCCUACCAAGGCGACGAUCCAUAGCUGGUCUGAGAGGAUGAACAGCCACACUGGGACUGAGACACGGCCCAGACUCCUACGGGAGGCAGCAGUGGGGAAUAUUGGACAAUAGGCGCAAGCCUGAUCCAGCCAUGCCGCGUGAGUGAUGAAGGCCCUAGGGUUGUAAAGCUCUUUCACCGGUGAAGAUAAUGACGGUAACCGGAGAAGAAGCCCCGGCUAACUUCGUGCCAGCCGCCGCCGUAAGAC